CCUACGGGUGGCAGCAGUGGGGAAUAUUGGACAAUGGGCGAAAGCCUGAUCCAGCCAUGCCGCGUGUGUGAAGAAGGCCUUCGGGUUGUAAAGCACUUUCAGUGGGGAAGAAAGCCUUGGGGCUAAUACCCUCGAGGAAGGACAUCACCCACAGAAGAAGCACCGGCUAACUCCGUGCCAGCAGCCGCGGUAAUACGGAGGGUGCGAGCGUUAAUCGGAAUUACUGGGCGUAAAGCGCGCGUAGGCGGUCUGAUAAGCCGGUUGUGAAAGCCCCGGGCUCAACCUGGGAACGGCAUCCGGAACUGUCAGGCUAGAGUGCAGGAGAGGAAGGUAGAAUUCCCGGUGUAGCAGUGAAAUGCGUAGAUAUCGGGAGGAAUACCAGUGGCGAAGGCGGCCUUCUGGACUGACACUGACGCUGAGGUGCGAAAGCGUGGGUAGCAAACAGGAUUAGAUACCCGAGUAGUC
rnacentral:rRNA from 1 species